AACGAACGCUGGCGGCAUGCCUAGCACAUGCAAGUCGAACGAUCCCUUCGGGGAUAGUGGCGCACGGGUGCGUAACGCGUGGGAACCUGCCCUUAGGUUCGGAAUAACUCAGAGAAAUUUGAGCUAAUACCGGAUAAUGUCUUCGGACCAAAGAUUUAUCGCCUUUGGAUGGGCCCGCGUUGGAUUAGCUAGUUAGUGGGGUAAAGGCCUACCAAGGCGACGAUCCAUAGCUGGUCUGAGAGGAUGAUCAGCCACACUGGGACUGAGACACGGCCCAGACUCCUACGGGAAGCAGCAGUGGGGAAUAUUGGACAAUGGGCGAAAGCCUGAUCCAGCAAUGCCGCGUGAGUGAUGAAGGCCUUAGGGUUGUAAAGCUCUUUUACCCGGGAUGAUAAUGACAGUACCGGGAGAAUAAGCCCCGGCUAACUCCGUG
rnacentral:rRNA from 1 species